rnacentral:rRNA from 1 species
UACGUAGGGGCCGAGCGUUGUCCGGAAUCAUUGGGCGUAAAGAGCGUGUAGGCGGCCACUUAAGUCCUGCGUGAAAUCUUGCGGCUCAACCGCAAGCGGUCGUGGGAAACUGGGUGGCUAGAGUGCGGGAGAGGAGAGUGGAAUUCCCGGUGUAGCGGUGAAAUGCGCAGAUAUCGGGAAGAACACCUAUGGCGAAGGCAGCUCUCUGGGACGGUACUGACGCUGAGACGCGAAAGCGUGGGGAGCAAACAGG